rnacentral:rRNA from 1 species
CCUACGGGAGGCAGCAGUGAGGAAUAUUGGUCAAUGGGCUUACGCCUGAACCAGCCAAGUCGCGUGAGGGAAGACUGCCCUAUGGGUUGUAAACCUCUUUUGUCAGGGAGCAACGCCGGCUACGUGUAGCCGGACUGAGAGUACCUGAAGAAAAAGCAUCGGCUAACUCCGUGCCAGCAGCCGCGGUAAUACGGAGGAUGCGAGCGUUAUCCGGAUUUAUUGGGUUUAAAGGGUGCGUAGGCGGAAUGCCAAGUCAGCGGUAAAAUCGCGGGGCUCAACCUCGCUCCGCCGUUGAAACUGGCGUUCUUGAGUGGGCGAGAAGUAUGCGGAAUGCGUGGUGUAGCGGUGAAAUGCAUAGAUAUCACGAAGAACUCCGAUUGCGAAGGCAGCAUACCGGCGCCCGACUGACGCUGAGGCACGAAAGCGUGGGGAUCGAACAGGAUUAGAUACCCCGGUAGUC